rnacentral:tRNA from 1 species
GUCUCUCUAGUAUAAGUAUUAUGCUUGACUUCCAAUCAAGAGAUCCUGACAGGGGGAGAUA